rnacentral:lncRNA from 15 species
AUGAGAGUGAAAAUACCCGCUGUGGCAGACUUGAAGAAACCGCAUCAGUCCACCUCGAGUAAAACAGGAGGAGAAAGGAAGGGGAAAAAAUGUUCUGAACAAUGCGCGCCGGCUUUGUGUGGACCAUCUGUCAUUGUAUCGACAUUACAAGCAGCCCUCCUGCCCCCCCAAAAGAAUCCGAGUGAGACACCUGAAGAGCAGAAAACAGACAGCGAUCAUUCAGAGCCGCCACCCGUCUCUCGCCAAGCCGUGACUCAUGAUGUGAUCCGUCUGUGUGGAUGGGGUGUUUAUAUUGUGUCUCUUGAUGCUGACUUUAGUGAAUCCAUGAAGAUAAUUUCCAUCAGGUAUAUUUCACAUCAUCAUUUAAACAUUUUCAUAAAAUCCCUACUUUCUCUAUUACUGGAUAUUCACCAUGUGUCACAUUCUUUUGUCCUCUUUCUCGGUGGAGCAGCAUCAGAGAGAGAUGACUAA